rnacentral:lncRNA from 1 species
CAUUGACCCGGUCCGGUUCACCAAACCGGCCGAGUCACCGAUUUUGACCGGUUUUGGCCGAGUCACACCGGUUCUCACCGGGUUGAAUGCAUGUCCGAUCCAUCAUGUAGCUCGAACCGGCCACACCACCGAUUCACGGUCGGACCGGUUCGACCGGCCGGUCCGGUCCGGUUUUUAAAACUAUGCAUGUAUGUGUUCUAUACUUUGUGUCC